rnacentral:rRNA from 1 species
UACGUAGGGUGCGAGCGUUGUCCGGAAUUAUUGGGCGUAAAGAGCUCGUAGGCGGCUUGUCGCGUCGACUGUGAAAACCCGCGGCUCAACUGCGGGCCUGCAGCCGAUACGGGCAGGCUAGAGUUCGGUAGGGGAGACUGGAAUUCCUGGUGUAGCGGUGAAAUGCGCAGAUAUCAGGAGGAACACCAAUUGCGAAGGCAGCUCGCUGGGACGUGACUGACGCUGAGACGCGAAAGCGUGGGGAGCAAACAGG